AUUAGAGUUUGAUCCUGGCUCAGAACGAACGCUGGCGGCAGGCUUAACACAUGCAAGUCGAACGCCCACUUCGGUGGGAGUGGCAGACGGGUGAGUAACGCGUGGAAACAUACCUUUUGCUUCGGAAUAUUCCCGGGAAACUGGGAGCAAUACCGAAUGUGCCCCGAGGGGGAAAGAUUUAUCGGCAAAAGAUUGGUCCGCGUUAGAUUAGGUAGUUGGUAGGGUAAAGGCCUACCAAGCCUACGAUCUAUAGCUGGUCUGAGAGGAUGAUCAGCCACAUUGGGACUGAGACACGGCCCAAACUCCUACGGGAGGCAGCAGUGGGGAAUAUUGGACAAUGGGCGCAAGCCUGAUCCAGCCAUGCCGCGUGAAUGAUGAAGGCCUUAGGGUUGUAAAAUUCUUUCACCGGGGACGAUAAUGACGGUACCCGGAGAAGAAGCCCCGGCUAACUUCGUGCCAGCAGCCGCGGUAAUAAUC
rnacentral:rRNA from 1 species